CGCGUCAGACACUUAUUCAAAUACACAUUUAUUUUUUUAUUUACACAAAAGUUAUGAAAAUCAUCCUGCUACACAACAAACGUAAUACUAUACACAUCAAGUGGAUACAGUACUGUAUUGUUUGAUUUGUUGUUGUUGUUGUUUUUUGUUGUUUAUUUUUGUGUACAUAUUGAAAUACUUGUGAAAACUAAUAUUAAGGAGGUUUCAUAAACUUCUUUCUUUAAGAGGGCAAUGAUGAUGUUUCAACAGCUUUGUAAAUCAUUAAUAAACAUGUAUAAACAACUAAACUUUUUUUGGAUCCACUGUGACAUAUGUAUUGCCAUCACAUUAAAAAAAAACACACACACAAAAUACAGAGAUCAGGGGUCGGCAACGUUAAAUACUCAAACAGAGAUUUCAACCAUCUUUCACAGACAAGAAAAAAAAAAAAAAACAUUGGGAGUA